rnacentral:rRNA from 1 species
AACGAACGCUAGCGGCAGGCCUAACACAUGCAAGUCGAACGGACAUCGAAGUUGGUUCGCCAAUGGAGAUGCUAGUGGCAGACGGGUGAGGAAUACAUAGGAAUCUACCUAGUAGUAUGGAAUAGUCACUGGAAACGGUGAGUAAUACCACAUACGCCCUGCGGGGGAAAGAUUUAUCGCUAUUAGAUGAGCCUCUGCUGGAUUAGCUAGUUGGUGGGGGAAAUGCCUACCAAGGCGACGAUCCAUAGCUGGCCUCAGAAGGUGACCAGCCACACUGGAACUGAGAUACGGUACAGACUCCUACGGGAGGCAGCAGUGUGGAAUAUUGGGCAAUGGGCGCAAGCCUGACCCAGCCAUGCCGCAUGAGUGAAGAAGGCCUUCGGGUUGUAAAGCUCUUUCAGCGGGGAAGAUUAUGACGGUACCCGCAGAAGAAGUCCUGGCUAACUCCGUGCCAGCCGCCGCGGUAA